rnacentral:lncRNA from 7 species
AAAUCAAUAAUGUAUGACUGGGGCAGAAGUAAAAACUAGUAGUAUUUUUUAAUGAAAAUGACUUGAGCAAAACAAAUAAGAAAUUGUAAAACUGAAGUUAGCCACCAGAGAGAGCUCAACUGGUUCUAAAUGACCAGGUUAUUUCAGUGAAAGUACGUGCUACAGGUUUCAGCUGAUGCUGGAAUGAAGGUCAGCACUGCACUCUGCCUGCCCAGUACAAGUCCAAGCUUAUGUGCAAGGAGAUUUUGGCAACACUGGCACAUAUGGCACCCUGACUGCUGCUAUAUUGGUCGGAUCAGGAGAAGGGGAAAUUCUACACUCUAAAUCUUAGUAAGGAUAAACUGGAAACUGAAAACAGAAAAUUCAUUUUGCAAAGACAGCAGAGAUUUAACAUCAACUACUGAACCAACCCCUCAGCGCUGACAAUCACAGGUAUACUGGCAGCUCUCAGAACUAUAAACGUGUGCUGGGUCAAGACAAGGGAAAGGAUAUGAUGAAGAGCUCUUCACUGUGGUCAAAAAUCAUCUUUAAUAUCCAAUAGAAAACAAGGAUGAAAGCAGAAAUGGCAUUUCCACGCCUGAGAGACAGACAGUACAGUCAACAAGAAGCUGUAUUGGUGACAGACUGAAGGAAUCUUGGCUGGAUUCCUCAAAUGACUCCUUGCAUUACCAUCACUGACCUUCUGCAUCAUUGUCUGGGGCAUGCUGAGCAGCCAGAAAUGGAGUAAAGUGAACCAGAAAGCAAAUAUCCAGUCCCUUCCCAAUGAGAGACCUAUAGAAGAUGCAGAAAGGAGGGAAAGAAGAGUAUAUCCUGAAAUUUAAGAUUGGUUGUUUCUAAACUCUUCAAUUGUUCCUAAGCUAACUCAUGAGGAGGGAGCUGGUGGCUGCCCGCUCCCUGUCCCCACCUAACAAGGCAUUCCAAGGUCGCUGGAAUCCAUCUCCCUUCAUCCUCUGCUGCAUAGAAGUUGUGGUUUUGGGUUUAUGUAUGUUAGAACACAGGAAGAACCAGAGACCUGAGUGUUUCCGCAACUUUUCUUCAAGCAACAAGCAACUUGUAGAUUGCUUAAUAAAGCUGUAUUUUGGUAUACCAGUCUUUCAGAAAUUAAAUUGAUUACAUGUGCAUCAGUGACAGCUCUUCCUCAGCCACAAUUAUCACAGUGGAUCCACUUGAAAAAUACCUGGAAAAUUCAUUUCGGGGUGUUACAGCAAGCCACUGACAAUAUGUGGUGCUUAAGUCUCUUUAGUUACUUGUUAACUGAUUUAAUUUAUCCAAGGAUCAUAGAAUGAUGGUACAGGAUAGAAGCGGAGCUAAGCAUGAAGGCCAAGGACUAUUGCAGAGACUGUGCUGUACAAUUUCAUAUUAUGCUACUUAAAAUUGUCAGGAGGCAAAAUCUUGCAUUUGCAGGAAAAUAGCAAUAGUGCAAUAGCUUUUUCCCUACACAGCAUCCAUAUUUUUACAUCUGAAAAUAUGAGAAGGUUGCUAUAUUACUUCCAGAUGUAGCAGCAAUAGAGUUUUGGUUUGGUUUGGUUUGUCUGACAGAAAUACCUUGAAAUUCAAAUGAAGCAAA